CCCCUGCAGGAUCCAUUUUAAUCAGCCAUGGAAAUUAGAAUGAUGAAGAACUAGAGAUGAAGGCUCUACAAUGUCCUGGCUAAAGUGGACGUUCAUCACUACCUGUAGAGUUGCUUGGGCCUUGUUUUGUAGUUAACCUUCCUGAGUAAGCUGCAUUUACUGUUCAUUUAAAAACACAAUUAUACUGGAUUUCAUGUAAACAAGUGGAAGCCAGCGAGCAUGAAGAGAAGCCUGGAGAUAAGCUUGUAUGGUAAAGUGAAGGAGAAUAUUAACGCUUGAUGAUUUUUUUUUAGAAUGCUGCAAUUAAGAACUUUAACAAUAUGUAUGUAGCAUGUGUGUAAUCCUAUAAAUGUGGCUUUAUGGGAAUAUCAUACCACACAGUACAAUACACAUGACUGACACGUAACGUAGGCAGAACAAUUCCAUGCAAUAUUUGACUAUUUUUGAUAUUCUGAUACAUAAUUUGAUACGGUCAGAAUCAGUCUAGUCAUAACAGAAGGUAUAUAUGCUUGUAUGUUGAAUGCUUUUAAAUAUUAGGACUGAAAUAAAUUCAUGAUGUUGAAUGAACUGA